ACUUCCCAAGAAGCACACGGCACAUUCAAUCUGACAUGGAGGUAGACAAUAUAUAACCGAUACAGCUUUGUCUUGUAUGAUGAGUACAAGUAAAUACUUAACGAGACAUUGAGGGCAGUCUGUGCCAGCAGCCGCGUAAUCCAGCUCAUAGCGUAUAUAAAGUUGUUGCAGUUAAAAGCUCGUAGUUGAACUUUGGGCCUGGGCGGACGGUCUACCUAUGGUAAGCACUGUGCGGCCGGGUCUUUCCUUCUGGCUAGCCCUCGGGCGAACCAGGACGAUUACUUUGAGGAAAUUAGAGUGUUCAAAGCAGGCCUUUGCUCGGAUAUAUUAGCAUGGAAUAAUAGAAUAGGACGCAUGGUUCUAUUUUGUUGGUUUCUAGGACCAUCGUAAUGAUUAAUAGGGACGGUCGGGGGCAUCAGUAUUCAGUCGUCAGAGGUGAAAUUCUUGGAUUGACUGAAGACUAACUACUGCGAAAGCAUUUGCCAAGGACGUUUUCAUUAAUCAAGAACGAAAGUUAGGGGAUCGAAGAUGAUCAGAUACCGUCGUAGUCUUAACCAUAAACUAUGCCGACUAGGGAUCGGGUGGUGCUACUUUGCCCACUCGGCACCUUACGAGAAAUCAAAGUUUUUGGGUUCUGGGGGGAGUAUGGUCGCAAGGCUGAAACUUAAAGGAAUUGACGGAAGGGCACCACCAGGAGUGGAGCCUGCGGCUUAAUUUGACUCAACACGGGGAAACUCACCAGGUCCAGACGUAAUAAGGAUUGACAAGUUAGAGACUUCUCUUGAUCUUACGGGUGGUGGUGCAUGGCCGUUUUUAGUCCUUGGAGUGAUUUGUCUGCUUAAUUGCGAUAACGGACGAGACCUUAACCUGCUAAAUAGGGCUGCGAGCAUCUGCUCGGGUGCUCUUCUUAGAGGGACUAUGGGUAUCAAACCCAUGGAAGUUUGAGGCAACAACAGGUCUGUGAUGCCCUUAGACGUUCUGGGCCGCACGCGCGCUACACUGACGGAGCCAGCAAGUCCAACCUUGGUCGAGAGGCCCGGGUAAUCUCGUGAAACUCCGUCGUGCUGGGGAUAGAGCAUUGUAAUUUUUGCUCUUCAACGAGGAAUUCCUAGUAAGCGCAAGUCAUCAGCUUGCGUUGAUUACGUCCCUGCCCUUUGUACACACCGCCCGUCGCUACUACCGAUUGAAUGGCUUAGUGAGGCUUCAAGAUGGCGCC
rnacentral:rRNA from 1 species